rnacentral:rRNA from 1 species
CCCCUACGGGAGGCAACAGUGGGGAAUCUUCCGCAAUGGGCGCAAGCCUGACGGAGCAAUGCCGCGUGAACGAAGAAGGUCUUCGGAUUGUAAAGUUCUGUCCUUAUCGAAGAGAGGGUAUAGAGUGAAAAAUGAUAUACUAGGACGGUAGAUGAGGAGGAAGCCCCGGCUAACUACGUGCCAGCAGCCGCGGUAAUACGUAGGGGGCGAGCGUUGUCCGGAAUCACUGGGCGUAAAGCGUGCGUAGGCUGUUUCGUAAGUCGUGUGUGAAAGGCGCGGGCUCAACCCGCGGACGGCACAUGAUA